rnacentral:rRNA from 1 species
CCUACGGGGGGCUGCAGUGAGGAAUAUUGGUCAAUGGGCUUACGCCUGAACCAGCCAAGUCGCGUGAGGGAAGACUGCCCUAUGGGUUGUAAACCUCUUUUGCCAGGGAGCAACGCCGGCUACGUGUAGCCGGACUGAGAGUACCUGAAGAAAAAGCAUCGGCAAACUCCGUGCCAGCAGCCGCGGUAAUACGUAGGAUGCGAGCGUUAUCGGGAUUUCUUGGGUUUAAUGGGUGCGUAGGCGGAAUGCCAAGUCAGCGGUAAAAUCGCGCGGCUCAAGCGCGAUCCGCCGUUGAAACUGGCGUACUUGAGUGUGCGAGAGGAAUGUGGAAUUCGAGGUGGAGCAGUGAAAUGCGUAGAUAUCACGCAGAACAUCAGUGGCGAAGGCGACAAUCCGGCACCCAACUGACGCUGAGGAGCGAAAGCGUGGGUAGCAAACAGGAUUAGAUACCCGUGUAGUC